rnacentral:rRNA from 1 species
AUUGAACGCUGGCGGUAGGCCUAACACAUGCAGGUCGAACGGCAGCACAGUAAGAGCUUGCUCUUACGGGUGGCGAGUGGCGGACGGGUGAGGAAUACAUCGGAAUCUACUUUUUCGUGGGGGAUAACGGAGGGAAACUUACGCUAAUACCGCAUACGACCUACGGGUGAAAGCAGGGGAUCUUCGGACCUUGCGCGAUUGAAUGAGCCGAUGUCGGAUUAGCUAGUUGGCGGGGUAAAGGCCCACCAAGGCGACGAUCCGUAGCUGGUCUGAGAGGAUGAUCAGCCACACUGGAACUGAGACACGGUCCAGACUCCUACGGGAGGCAGCAGUGGGGAAUAUUGGACAAUGGGCGCAAGCCUGAUCCAGCCAUACCGCGUGGGUGAAGAAGGCCUUCGGGUUGUAAAGCCCUUUUGUUGGGAAAGAAAAGCAGCAGGUUAAUACCCCGCUGUUCUGACGGUACCCAAAGAAUAAGCACCGGCUAACUUCGUG